rnacentral:rRNA from 1 species
UCGGAACCAAGGUUUCCCGUAGGGGGAACCCUACGGAAGGAUCAUUAUUGAAUUCUUUGAAGUGCAGGUUGUCUUGUAUGUCUCACCUUUUGUAGUCUUUGAUGCUGGCAAUAGCAUUUGUUGUUGCAAUGUGCUCAAGGCUUAUUCUUAAGGGGGGGAGCAAUAAUGGACACCUGCUUUUUAAGAUUGCUCAUGUUCCCUUUAACACCCUGUGCACUAUAAGCAAAGCUUUGUUCCUGCAAGUCAAAUCUAUGUUGUGAUUUAGCAUCUAUUUUGUUGCAUAUGGGCGCCCUCUAUCAUAUAUUGACCAGCUCAAGGAAUUAUUGUGUUAAUAACAAUGUUCCAAAGCAAAAAUGGGGAGUAUGUGUAUGGGGUUUUUGCACAUGCAAAUGGUAUAUAUGUAUGCAUAUAGUCACAAAAAGGAUGACUUUAAAGGGAUAUAUUGGCUUUGUCUUCAUAUAAACCCUUGUAAUUGUCUUGUACAAUGAAAAUGGCUCAAUUGUGAGCAAAAAAUUCAUACAACUUUCAACAAUGGAUCUCUUGGCUCUUGCAUCGAUGAAGAACGCAGCGAAAUGCGAUAAGUAAUGUGAAUUGCAGAAUUCAGUGAAUCAUCGAAUCUUUGAACACACCUUGUGCUCCUUGGGUUACCUAUGGAGCAUGCCUGUUUGAGUGUCAUGUUAAUCUCAAUUCCCUCAGGCAUUUUUUGUACAAACAAGAAAAGGCCUGCUCAGGGUAAAUUGGACUUGGAGGUUUUCAUGCAGGUUCCCCCUUCGUAGGGAAUCAGCUCCUCUUAAAAAUAUUAGCUGGAGGGAUAAUGCAAAAUGGCUUCUUAGCAUUGUUCAUUGGCUUAUGGUGUAAUAAUUGUUUCAUCAUGGCCAUCAGUGCAAAUGGCAAAUACAGCCUCCAAAGAGACCUUUGUAGUAUUUCUCUGCUUCUAAUUUGUCAGAUUUAUUUGACAACUUCAUGUAUUCUCUUUGGCCUCAAAUCAGGUAGGACUACCCGCUGAACUUAAGCAUAUCAUUAAGCGGAGGAAAAGAAACUAACAAGGAUUCCCCUAGUAACUGCGAGUGAAGCGGGAAGAGCUCAAAUUUAAAAUCUGGCAGCUUUUGCUGUCCGAAUUGUAAACCGGUAGAACCAUUUUUUUGUCCUGGUACCGGGUAAAA